UGCUCCAUGUUGCCAGCACGCCCUUCGGGGUGGUGGCGAUUCAUGGGGGACUGCCGGGGUCAACUCGGAGGAAGGUGGGGAUGACGUCAAGUCAUCAUGCCCCUUAUGUAUUGGGCUGCAAACAUGCUACAAUGGCCGGUACAGAGGGUUGCGAUACCGUGAGGUGGAGCGAAUCCCUAAAAGCCGGUCUCAGUUCGGAUUGGGGUCUGCAACUCGACCCCAUGAAGUCGGAGUCGCUA
rnacentral:rRNA from 1 species